rnacentral:rRNA from 1 species
UGAGAGGAUCUGCUCCUAGUACGAGAGGACCAGAGUGGACGAACCUCUGGUGUACCGGUUGUGACGCCAGUCGCAUCGCCGGGUAGCUAUGUUCGGAAGGGAUAACCGCUGAAAGCAUCUAAGCGGGAAGCCUACCUCAAGAUAAGAUUUCCCUAGGACUUUAUGUCCUCUAAAGAGCCGUUCGAGACUAGGACGUUGAUAGGUUGGAUGUGGAAGCAUAGUGAUAUGUGAAGCUGACCAAUACUAAUUGCUCGUGAGGCUUGACUAUACAACACCCAAGCAGUUG